rnacentral:misc_RNA from 1 species
AGCAGCCUGGUCGGCACCUCGACCCCCUCUUCGUGUGCGUUGACAACCUGUCCUACACACAGAGAGGAGUGGGACGCGUUUGUACAGCAGCACGCACCACCUUCCCGCGCGACUCUUCAUCGUUGCUCUUCUCUCUUACACACCAGCACACACACACACACACACACAUUCCGCCUCCUAACCAAUUCGACUCUCAACCACGGCGGUCUUUUCCAUGCCGUCUCGAAAGGCGCUCGCCUUCGCGCGUCUUGCGCUGAUCUUCGCUGCCACGCUCAUCAGUGCCGCUCUCAUCGCCACGCCGCUGCUCGAGGCGAGACGCCAGCUUUGACGGCAACAACCCGUCCCGCGAGAUGGAGGGCGUCGAGGAGGCGAACCCAGAGAGCUACUUCGACCUUGUAGGCCACGAUCGGUUUGCGCUGCUCGAGUUCUACUCGGACUGGUGCGGGUACUGCCGCAAAUUUGCCCCCCCCCCCCCCCCCCCCGUACGAUGAGUUGGGCAAGUACGUUCGGAUCCGCCCUGAGAUGCAGCAGAGGCUUGUGGUGGGGAAGGUGAACGCGCCGAAUGAGGCGCGCAUACAGCGACGGUACAAAGUCAGUGGCUACCCGACGGUCAUUAUGGUGCCACCAAACAAGCACGCCGGCGUCGAGUUCACUGGGAAUCGGAACUUCAAUCAGCUCUUGGACUUUGUCGAGCGUGAGAGAUGGCGAAGAAGGAGUACGCUGUUACGGAAUAGACUGAGGGGAAGGGGCGACAGAGAAGGUUGGAGGGGUCGCGCGAGGGGUGGGUUGCGUGGGCAGGGGGACCUGGCAGAGAGGGGCAGAGGCAUGCGUGUAUGGCGCGCAGUGCGGGUAAAAGUGGACGGCUAGGUUGUGUGUGCAUAAGUGUCUAUGACAGCUUCUACACCUCGCUUUCGACGGCGUUGCUCUGCCGCCUGUUUCUCGUGCUGUUCGCCUCCCUCUCCCCGCUUUCUCGCUGUGCGCGCCCUCCCUCACUGCCGUUGCCCCACUUUCGCCGCCACCGCUGCUAUGCUGAAGUGCCAGACACAAUGUGAAGAGUCACCACCCCACACCACCGGCUGUGUUUCCAGCGCACACGUCUUUUUCUGUGCCGCUCCUUGCGUGCUCCAUUUUCCUCGAUGUGCCAUAGACCAUCAAGUGGUUUCUGUGAGAUGCGCGAACAUGCACGAAACCCACACAUGCCCUUCACGCAGGCGGCCUGGUGAAGGGGCCUCGUGAUUCACGCAAGAAACGAGAUGACGCGUGUUGGGCUCAUUUCUUACGUGCCACUCUCUCUCUCCGCUCUUCACGUGUGCGUGUUCUCGUCCCUCCUUUCCUCCUCGCCCUCUUGCAUACAUCGCCCAUGCACAUGUUUGCCUCCGACGACCGCACCAG